UCAAGCCGGAGGAAGGUGGGAUGAUGUCAAGUCAGCAUGGCCUUUAUAUCCUGGGCUACACACACGCUACAAUGGCAGAUACAAUAGGUUGCGAAACCGCGAGGUGGAGCCAAUCCUCAAAGUCCGUCUCAGUUCAGAUUGUAGGCUGCAACUCGCCUGCAUGAAGUUGGAGUUGCUAGUAAACGCAGGUCAGCUAUACUGCGUUGAAGUACCGUUCCCGGGUUU
rnacentral:rRNA from 1 species